CUGUACCAGGGUGGUUUUCCCGGAGCCGGCCAUUCCCAGGACGAUCAUACACAGAGUGUCCUGUUCGGCCGCCGCCAUCCCUGCGCCGCUCUCCGCCAUGCUGCUCACACCACUUCCGGCGGAACCAUAGAGAGCGCGGCUAGAUCGCCCUGCAUUAACCAUAGAGCUCCGCACCGCAGGGAUAGAGCGGCCUCUGACAGACCAUAAAGUGUCUC